CAUUCUAAAAAGGGCAAAACAAAAAGCUGCAGAAAUUCUCAAAAAUCGAAAAAGUAAAAGGCUGCAAACUGCCGUUCAAAGUCCUGAAAGAAAGAAGUUUCGACCCUCCAUCCCGUAGAUUCUACAAGUCUCAUUCGAAAGACAGACCAAUAGACUCCCUCAGAUCCCAACUCCUAUCUGGCACGGGUCACCGGAGAAGCUAGAAUAAAUUGAUAUUGAGAUCCAUGUCAAUGGCUCUUUCCCGGAUCUGUAAAUAGUGAGCAUCUGUGGCUUCCCAGAUCUUCCGAAACAUGAAGAAAGAUCCAAAUUCAUUGAUGUUGCAUGCUGUGAUGAAGAAUGUCGCCAAACUGAGUUAUGAGCUAAAGAUCUUCUGUAGCGAAUGGUAAUGCAUGUAAAUGUGGAAGCAACUUGGGUGACCAGAUUUAUAUUAUAGCUCUGAACCAUUACAAUUUGGCCAAAUUAAAGAAAUAGUGAACCAAAAGAAAUAGUAGGGAUUUCAAGAAACAAAAGAAAUAGUUAACCAAAAAACUAAUAAACUACGAGCAUCACAGCUAACAUUAGGAUCCCAAUAAUAAUGAACCUUCCUAUUCUUUCGUAAAGCUGCAGAGUAGCAAAAGCUAGCUUUCAGUUUUGAUAACAUCAGGUCUGAAUGUUAAAGAUCAAAAUGCCUCUGUAUACAUAGGCUAAAAUAUUCUAGGAUCCCAAUAAUAAUUAAUCUACCUACUCUUUAGUAAAAAAAAAUCUUGAAGACAUUUAGUUCAUUUGCCUAUCAUUUAUCAAAUAGU